rnacentral:rRNA from 1 species
CCCGCUGAACUUAAGCAUAUCAAUAAGCGGAGGAAAAGAAACUAACAAGGAUUCCCCUAGUAACGGCGAGUGAACCGGGAAGAGCUCAAAUUUGAAAUCUGGCAGUCUUCGAUUGUCCGAGUUGUAAUCUAUAGAAGCGUUUUCCGUGCUGAACUGUGUAUAAGUCCCUUGGAACAGGGUAUCAAAGAGGGUGACAAUCCCGUACUUUACACAAUCAUCAGUGCUCUGUGAUACGUUCUCUACGAGUCGAGUUGUUUGGGAAUGCAGCUCAAAAUGGGUGGUAAAUUCCAUCUAAAGCUAAAUAUUGGCGAGAGACCGAUAGCGAACAAGUACCGUGAGGGAAAGAUGAAAAGCACUUUGGAAAGAGAGUUAAACAGUACGUGAAAUUGUUGAAAGGGAAACGAAAUUCAUGAAUCAUGUUUAUUGGACUCAGCCGUUCUUCGGUGUACUUCCUUUAAACGGGUCAACAUCAGUUUUGUCCGAUGGAUAAAGGUAGUAGGAAGGUGGCUCUCUCGGGAGUGUUAUAGCCUAUUGCUGCAUACAUUGGAUGAGACUGAGGACUGCAGCUUGCCUUUAUGGCCGGGGUUCGCCCACGUUCAAGCUUAGGAUGUUGACAUAUUCUCGAAUCACGACCCGUCUUGAAACACGG